rnacentral:rRNA from 1 species
AGAGUUUGAUCCUGGCUCAGAUUGAACGCUGGCGGCGUGGCUAAAACAUGCAAGUCGAGGGAGAAGCCACCUUCGGGUGGUGGACACCGGCGGAAGGGUGAGUAAUGCAUUCGAAUGUACCCCGAGGUGGGGGAUAGGUCGAGGAAACUCGGCGUAAUACCCCAUGUUCUCUCCGGAGGAAAGCUCAGGCGCCUUGGGAGCAGCGAAUGUCCUAUCAGGUUGUUGGUGGGGUAAAGGCCUACCAAGCCGAAGACGGGUAGCGGGUGUGAGAGCAUGACCCGCCACAUCGGGACUGAGACACUGCCCGGACUCCUACGGGAGGCUGCAGUAACGAAUAUUCCGCAAUGCACGCAAGUGUGACGGAGCGACGCCGCGUGCGGGACGAAGCGGCUCUGCCGUGUAAACCGCUGUCAGGAGCCACUAAGCACUGAAGAGCUCCAAAGGAAGGGCCGGCUAAUCUCGUGCCAGCAGCCGCGGUAAGACGAGAGGCCCAAGCGUUAAUCGGAAUCACUGGGCUUAAAGGGUGCGCAGGCGGGCUCGUGUGUGUGCCGUGAAAUCCCUCAGCUCAACUGAGGAAUUGCGGUGCAAACUGCGAGCCUUGAGGUAGGUAGGGGCUGUUGGAACGAUCGGUGGAGCGGUGAAAUGCGUUGAUAUCGAUCGGAACGCCGAAGGUGAAGACAAGCAGCUGGGCCUAUCCUGACGCUCAUGCACGAAAGCGUGGGGAUCAAACAGGAUUAGAUACCCUGGUAGUCCACGCCGUAAACGAUGUGUACUAGAUCGGUGCAGGUCUGACCCUGUGCUGGUCGGAGAGAAAUUAUUAAGUACACCGCCUGGGGAGUACGGUCGCAAGGCUAAAACUCAAAGGAAUUGACGGGGGCUCACACAAGCGGUGGAGCAUGUUGCUUAAUUCGAAGCAACGCGAAGAACCUUACCAGGGUUUGACAUGCACGGAUUACCUCUAAGAAACUAGAGCCACGCCCUCGGGUUGGAACGUGCACAGGUGCUGCAUGGCUGUCGUCAGCUCGUGCUGUGAAGUGUC